rnacentral:rRNA from 1 species
GACGAACGCUGGCGGCGCGCUUAACACAUGCAAGUCGAACGGAAAGGCCUGCUUUCCCUUGUGGAUUGCGGGUACUCGAGUGGCGAACGGGUGAGUAACACGUGAGUGAUCUGCCCCCAACUUGGGUAUAAGCCUGGGAAACUGGGUCUAAUUCCCGAUAGGGCUGCAGGGUGGUGCCUGUGGUGGAAAACGAUUUUCUAGUGGUUGGGGAUGAGCUCGCGGCCUAUCAGCUUGUUGGUGGGGUAAUGGCCUACCAAGGCGGCGACGGGUAGCCGGCCUGAGAGGGUGGACGGACACAUUGGGACUGAGAUACGGCCCAGACUCCUACGGGAGGCAGCAGUGGGGAAUAUUGCACAAUGGGCGGAAGCCUGAUGCAGCGACGCCGCGUGGGGGAUGACGGCCUUCGGGUUGUAAACUCCUUUCGACCGCGAGGAAGCCACCUGGUUGGAAGGGUGGUGACGGUAGUGGUAGAAGAAGCACCGGCUAACUACGUG